UACGAAGGGGGCUAGCGUUGUUCGGAAUUACUGGGCGUAAAGCGCACGUAGGCGGACUAUUAAGUCAGGGGUGAAAUCCCGGGGCUCAACCCCGGAACUGCCUUUGAUACUGGUAGUCUCGAGUCCGGAAGAGGUGAGUGGAAUUCCGAGUGUAGAGGUGAAAUUCGUAGAUAUUCGGAGGAACACCAGUGGCGAAGGCGGCUCACUGGUCCGGUACUGACGCUGAGGAGCGAAAGCGUGGGUAGCAAACAGG
rnacentral:rRNA from 1 species